GCUGCGGUGGUUUCCGUAUGGUCGCUGGUCUGCUGUGUUGCUGGGUCAGUGCGCGCGGCCGCUUGGAUCGGCGUACAUGUGUCACAGUCAGAUAGAGGCUGCCUGUGUUCCCUGGCCCAGGGGUGCUCAAGGGUGCCCUGCUCAAGUGUGCCUCGGCACAUCCUCUGCACCCACUGCACAAAUCCUCAGUCAGCCAGCGUCAUAAGCCUGUUAGCACGCUAACAAUCCGGAUGCUGUCCCAGCAAGGCAUGCCACGAACUCGGGUAUCCCCUCUGGCAGUCAGCUGCAAGCAAGGGCACGUUACCAAACAGGUAACCGCGCUGUUGCCCUUUCGACUGCUGGCCUGGCCACACAGACUUACUUAACGCACGACGUGCUUGUGGCGGGGUGAGGAAGCCUGAGGGAGCAACGCGAAUGUGCGAUGAAGUCCAGCCAGCUGUCCAAAGCUGACACGCCGUGCAUUGACGCCGUGUCUUCGCGUGUUCGCACAGACGUACGUCUCAGUCUCAGCAUUCCAAU
rnacentral:lncRNA from 1 species